UGGAAAAUUCCAUGGACAGAGAAGCCUGGAGGGAUACAGUCCGUGGAGUCACAGUCAGACAUGACUAAGGUAUGACUGACUUAACGACUAAACAGCAGUAACAUCCUGGGGACGAAAGUAAAAGUCAGAUUCCACGUAGAAGAUCUCCAGGACUGUAGGGAGAACCUGGACUGAGGGCAGAUUACUGCUGCUCUGUUCUCAGGAUGUGUUUGCAAGCUCAGCACAACGGAAAGAGUCUCAGAUCAAAUGGCAAGGCAGCGUUGCCACAUAACAACAUGCAACCAACUGUUUAUCACGUUUACAUACUUCAAACAGACAGAGGCUCGGAAGGAAGCAGCCUUUGUUCCUUCCAUCCUUCCUGCAUAAGACCCUGUGUGAGGACCUAACGUGGAAGCGUCAUGUGAAAAUUGUGCUAGAGGUCCCACACGUCAGGAUGAUGGAGAUGAGGAUGGGAGUUACCUGGACGGUUUACCCCACCAACCCUGAGAUCACAGUCCCCGGACAGCAGCAGUGAAUGUCCCAUACUUCUUGGUGAAUCCUUAGUCUCAGUCUAAAGUAGACUCCUUUGCUGUGCCUUCUUUUGUUUUUUUGAAGUGAGAUUCACAUAAUGAAAAUUAACCACCUUGGCUUUACAAUUCAGUGGCAUUCACAGUGUAGUGCAGUCCCCAUCUCUAAUUCCAACACAUUUCCAUCACCUCAAAAGAGCCGUGCACCCAUGAGGCAGUCACUUCCUGUUCUUCCCUGCUCCCAGCCCCUGGCAACCACAAUCUGUUUUCUAACUCUAUGGAUUUACACAUCUGUAUAUUUCAUAUAAAAGGAAUCACAAUAUGUAACCUUUUGUGUCUCACUUCUUUCGCUUUGCAUGUUUUUGAGUUUCACCCAUGUUGCAGCAUCUAUCAGCACUUCAUUCUUUUACAUGACUAAAUAUAUAAUGUGAUGUCAUAGAUACCCUGUAUUUUGUUUCUCCAUUCAUCUAUUAAGGAC